rnacentral:rRNA from 1 species
GACGAACCACACAAACGUUAUUCGGAAUUACUGGGCUUAAAGGGUGCGUAGGCGGCGCUAAAAGUUGGGUGUGAAAUCCCUCGGCUUAACCGAGGAACUGCGCCCAAUACUGUAGUGCUUGAGGGAGACAGAGGUGAGCGGAACUUAGGGUGGAGCGGUGAAAUGCGUUGAUAUCCUAAGGAACACCCGUGGCGAAAGCGGCUCACUGGGUCUCCUCUGACGCUGAGGCACGAAAGCUAGGGUAGCGAACGGG